AGAAGGACAAGUGUGUAGCUCAGACACAUGAAUAUAAUAAUUUAGGGAAAUAGGGGAAAAAUAAAAAUAAACAAGGAAAAGAGAGGAAGAGUGGGCCAGGAUGAUAGGACCAUGAGAGUAAUGAGCAGGAAUAAGGACAUGCUGUGAAGUUAUGAAGAUAAUGGGCUAAUAUAAGUUAGCCUGCAACUCGCAGGUGGGAGCAGCAACUCCUUGGACUUAUUUUCCAGAAGAGGGUCCUAGGGUCAUGUGUGGGGCACAAGCAUUUCUGCAGAGCCUGGGAUCGUGAAUUGAGAAAUUGAGGGGAGAGCUAAGCUUUGGGCUUGAAAAUGUUGAAAACCGCUGUCUAGAAGCCACCUACAACGUUCAACCACCAG
rnacentral:lncRNA from 1 species